rnacentral:tRNA from 1 species
AACCGAUUAGUUUAAUGGCAGAACUGUGGCCUUUUAAGCCAAAAACACAGGUUCGAUUCCUGUAUCGG